rnacentral:tRNA from 1 species
UGUUCUGUGGCUUAGUUAGUUAAAGCGCCAGACUCGCGAUACGGUGUCGUGGGUUCAAAUCCUACCAAAACAA